CUUUAAGUGGAGUUAUAGGAGUUUGUCAGAAAGAUACUUUUAGCUUUUUAAAAGGUAAAUUAUUUAAAUUUGUAGUUUUUCUGUGUAAACACUAUCCUUGACCUCACUUUUGGGUGGCCUUGUCACCUGUGGUCUCAUUAAGUCCAGGAUUAAUUCAUGAAAAGUCAUUUGGGGUUAGGCCAGCAUGAGGCAGAAAAACAAUAGGAGGGUAGCGGAGAGGGGGGGAUCAUGUGAUGGAGAACGGCGGGAACAAGAGGGUCACUUAAGGGCAGGCAAAGAGGGCGGAGCCUAAAACGGACGAAAAAAAAGGGGAAAUGUAAGGAGAGGAAAAGCGGACAUCGGACAAGUUUCCUUUAUUUUUGCACAUUCAGGUUUCAUGUCGUUUCCUUCCUGUUUUCUUUUGUUGAUCACUAACCCUUGUUUCUGUCUUCUCGAUCUGUUCCCUGCCCCCGUCUUGUCACACCUGCCGCCUGAUUGUGUCUCCUCACCUGUUUCCCAUCACCCUCAUUACUCCUUGUGUGUCUCACCGUCUCAUCGCCACUUCUUGUCUCGUUCCAGCAUAAUUCAUAGUCACUGUUACCUUCCGUUUUUGGAUACCAACCUCUGCCUGAGCUGUAAUGAACCCUGUCUACUGAUUCAGUGUCUUACCAUUGUGUUUUUCUUUUUGUGCCUCGUUUCAUGACAAAUCUAGCCACCAAACUUUUGUUUCGUGUCCCUGAAAACACCAGAUGUCUGACCACACGAGGAUAACAAUGUGACUUCGAUACAGCUGCGACCCUUUAUUAUCUUUGUGGGUAUCACUUCAACUCUCAAGUACAGACAAAAAAAAAACACGAGCAGCCACUGAGGGUACACCUCGAGCCGUCGUGUAUUAAUUAGCAGUAUGACAGUGUUAGUGGGGCUUUCUCUGCUGCCAGGCAGAAAUCAGCCUUACAUAAGAACCCACCAGGAAGCCACCAGGAGGGACACAAUGUUCCUCACCCCUCUCUGCACUGACUGUCUGUCUCUGAGAAGAAAAAAAAAAAAAAACAUCUUCCCUUUUUGCUUUAACAAAAUCAGCACAUUUAAGCUCUGAAGGCAAAACCGCAGGAGAGAGCGACACGUAAAAACACAAGUCUUUGUUGCAGGAUGCUUUCGUUGUUUUUCUCUCUCUUCACGUGAAGGACAGCUCGGUAAACAAAGUGUGUCAAGGGAGUCAAGCUGCUGCAGCUACAGUUAAAAGGUUCCUGAAAUACAGUUUACAGGAUGCUCCUUUGAAGUGAUUCAGUGUUUUUGUCUAUCUGGUCUAUUCCUGGGUGCCCUCAAUUAUUCCCAAAUUUAGCAUCACAGUCAAAACACACGCUCAGAUUCGCACGAAAUGGCUGGAGUACCUCUGCAUGAUUUUCAAGAAUUUGCAAAUCAAGCAGCGUUUUAUUAUGAGUGAAAUCAGUUGCACACAAGACUCUGCAAAGGCAAUCAUGCCAAGACAGUAGGUAACAUGUUAGCUUAAUCAGCAGCCUUGAGUGGAUUUGUUAAUUUCAUUACACACAGGCACGAGUAAAACAAAUCUGGAAAGACUCACUCCAGGUGGAAUAUUUUGUCUGGUAACCUAGUUUCGUUCAGUCUUAUUUUAACCUUAAUUGAUGUUGUAGCAGCGUAAAACCAUUUACAGUAAACAAGUGAAAUAAUCAGGUCAUCUUGAGAGGCAGCACUGCAAAUGAAACCCAUGCCCUGGUCCUGAUUUGUUCCUGGUGUGACCUGCGUCGAGUGUGACUGGAAAUAAUCCUGUGAAAAUGAACUCCAAAUGCCCUUUCUGUACAGCAAGGACUCAAUGCACCCUCUCGACUGUACAUCAGAAUAAGCAUUCGUGGUAUGCACUGUAGAUUAGAAUCUUAAAGUGGCGAAUAGCUGCUCCUUCCGCGACCCCGUCCACCCUGAGCUCCAGUGGGCCUCCCUGCCAGCUUGCUGCCGUGCUGUGCUGCAGCUCUUGAGGGGAUUGGGAGUCGCUGGCCCCAUUAUUUCUCCCCGAAUCAGCCUAAGGAGGGUUUCAGGCGGGCUCAUUGAACUUCCCUGCACAGCAGCGGGGCAGAGCUGUGACCCACUUUCAAAAGCCAGCUCUGGCUCUCCGCUGAGAGACGCACAGCACUCGUGAUCCCACACGAAAACAUAACAUACUGACAUAUUUUUGAAAUUCCAUACUAUAUUAAAUAAUAAUGAUCUUUUCUGUCUUUUUUUACUUUUAAAUAGUUAAUUUACGGCACAGAUAUACAGCCUGAUUGCAGUUUGCAUGAAGGAAAAAUAUCAAAAAAAUAAGUUGAUUAUAGUUUAGGGUGACUGUAUAGUGAGCAGGUGAUUAUGCAAAUUAGACUCCUUGACAGGGUGAGCAUCAUUUUUAUAUUCAAAUAAUGAUGCAGAUGUAUUAGUUUGCAUUCUUGAACAAAUAAAUUGAUUAUAGUUUAGGGUGACUAUGGUGAGGAGCUGAUAUGCAAAUUUGAGUCCUUGACAGGGUGAGCAAUGCCAAUUUAAUUAAAUAAUGACGCAGCUGUAUAAGUUUGCAUACUCGAACAAAUAAGUAAAUAAUAGUUUUGGGUGACUGUAUAGUGAGCAGGUGAUUAUGCAAAUUAGACUCCUCAACAGGGUGAGCAAGACCUGUAUAAUCAAAUAAUGAUGCAGAUGUAUUAGUUUGCAUUCUUGAACAAAUAAAUUGAUUAUAGUUUAGGGUGACUGUACGGUGAGCAGGUGAUCAUGCAAAUUAGAGGUCUUGACAGGGUAAGCAAGACCUUUAUAUUAAAAAUGUGACGCAGCUUUAUAAGUUUGCAUACUUGAACAAAUAAGUUGAUAAUAGUUUUGGGCGACUGUAUAGUGAGCAGGUGAUUAUGCAAUUAAGUUAUGACACAGCUGUAUUAGUUUGCGUACUUGACUUAAAAUCUGGGAACAACCUGACACGCCUGCUAUAGCUAAUUUAGCUUGGGCGGCACAUAUGUGAUCAACAAGGUCAUAUUAUGCUAGGGUGACCAUAUGUCCUUUUUUACGCGGGCAUGUUCUCUUUUUGGGGGGUGUCCAGCCUUGUCCGGCUUUGUCCGGGGAAGUUUUUAAAAUCCUUCAAAUGUCUGCGGUUUUGUACGUAAGUUUUGAGUUUGUGUCAUGUGGACUUACUGAGUUAGAAGUGCAUAAAAGACACUUGAUCCGACCCAAAAAACUCUCAAAAUUAACUUUGUGCGACUCCGUGAGUCCAUCCCUGCGUAGUCGGAAUAUGGUCACCCUAUAUUAUGCAGGGAGGAUGUGCAUUAGUGUUGUGUUGAAGGCACAUACAUGUGGUAGGUACUGUGUGUACUGUGUUAGCAUGGGGUUUAAGACACUGCCUAUCUCUACCAUUCCUAAAGUCAUGCUACUCCCUCCAGUCCUCUCUCCUGCAGCAAUAUCAGCACUCAAAGGUUCAAAAAUUCAACAGGUGACUCAGCCCUGAUGUAGUCCCACUGUACCUUUUUAUCAGCCAUCACUGCUGCAAAACAAAAAGCAGCCUCAAGGCCAAAAUCUGAAUGCCUGGCUGAGUACAUUUUUCAUUUUGAUUUGUGAUUUUUGCUGCAGUGCCAAUACACAUUUCAGUCUUGAUUUAUUCCGGUAUUUGAAGAAUAGGGGGCAAAGAGAGCAAAAACGCAGCACGUUUUCGUAUGUGUGGGAGUCUGAACAUGCAUGUGAGUUUGUGUGUGUGUGUGUGUGUGUGUGUCUAUGGAAACCUCAAGUCUCUGCAGCUCUGUAUCUCUCAGUCCAUGACAUUCACACUCCACGUGUUUGAACAGCAUGUGGAGCUCGGGUCCGCCCACCGCUCACAAACACUCCUGCUGCUGUUUACCACGCUGGCAGUGGAUUGGAAGACUCCAGCCUGCCGGUCCACAUGCCGUCUUAUCAGCAGAGUCUCUUUCACAGCUCGUAAACAUGUUUUGCAAAGGAAAUUCUCAGGGAAAACACUGUUGUAAAAGAGACACACAUAAGUCAGCGCAUAUUCUGGCUCCUCUCAUGAGCUGGUUUAAUAUCUAGCGGGGCUGACCGGCAGAUGUAUUCAGUAUUAUGUGUCGCUUAACUUUAUUUGAGUCAGCUGAAACAGAUCUCUAUCUUUGUGACCACUGGGAUGGCGCUCUCCCAUGCUUUCCUGUUUCUGUUUACUGCAAAAUAUGAGAUUAAUUGAUUAAAUUGAUGGAAUUUCUCAAAGCAAGUUCAAGCAGCAGUCAAAUAUUUUGGAGGAAAGAAGUAAAAGAAAAGAAAGCAGUUAAAGCUCCUAUAAGUGUCAUGAUAUGUUCUGUUUAUUUAGUUUUCUCCUGGUUUUAUUUGAGAGCAUUUUGUGUAUUUUCCUUAGUGUUACAGUUUCCAAUUGUUGCUGUUUCCCUCCUGUUCUCUGUAUUUUAUUCUUUAGAUCAGUUCUCAGUGUUUUCUCUUUUAUUUUGUAGUAGUUGAUUCCUUGUGUUUCUAGUCUGGUUUCACUCCCCUAGUUUUCCCUCCCUCGUUAAUCACUCAUGAGUUUCACCUGCGCCUCGUUAGCCUCACCUGUGUCUCGUUUGCCUCACCUGUUGCUCGUUAACCAGUGAGUGUAUAUAGUCCCUUCAGUUUUCGAACUCGCCCACUAUACUAGCAGUACGCACUGAUUUGCCCAAACGUUUGAAUGCAGUAGGUGAAUUUGAAAAUGGCCCCUGUCUUCCCCUCCGUCUUUGUUGGUUCAUUGUGUGUAUAUAUGUCUGUCUGUUCCCUGUGAGCCUUGAUCUGAGUCCCUACUCUCCUGGGGGGUUUUUCCCCAGUGUCUUUUGUUGGAGUUUUUCUCCUUGGGUUUUUUGAAGUCAGUUUUUGUUGUUUCAAGUUAAGUCUUUUAACUCUUAAAUAAUUUUUUCCCCCUUUUUUUCCUUUGUUUUGUGUACCAUUCCUGACAAUAAGGAGCUUUUUGACAUCAAUGAAAAAGCCUUAAAUUCAUAUUGUUGCUUUUUUAUGAUUUUACAAAAGUACUGUCAAAAGUCAGCAGGAUAAGACUUUUUAGUUAGAAGGCAUGACUUACAUUGUACUGCGUUAGACAUUCAUCAUCUUUAGCUCAAUGGAAGGCUAAAGGUGCGUCUUUAGAUGUGCAAAGUGCAAACACAGCUGUCUGAAUGGACUUGUAUUAGAAUCCUUAAGGGCCUGUGUCCGCUAGAAGAGUUUAGUCUAGUUUCCAUACAAAAUUAAUGCAUUUCAGUUCAGUUCAGCACAGUUUGGUGCUCAGUGUCCAAGGAACAAAAACAGUCAAGUUGAGAAAAUUAAAUUAUUGACGUGAACAUGCCCUCCUCCACAAAACUAGGGGGCGAUAUGCGCCUUUUAGCAGCACUGUUUCCGACCUCAUACAACUGUCAACAACAACAUCCAGUCCGUUCCAGACGUCAGAAGUGGCUACAACUGCUGCUUGGCAUUUUCGAUUCUUCAUUUUCUGCAGAUGAGAUGCAAGCUACUCCUCUUCUGUGGUGUUUUUGUUCCAGAGUUACCGGGGCGUGGUGCACACGCACAUGCACAUGCAUUGUUGAUCAUACUCCAACUACGCCGGUUACAUGGUAGAGAAACUCGAAUUCCAAUCGCAUUAUCUGGGUGUCUUAAUUGGAGUUCUUCGACUCCAAUCAGAGUUCUCAAACUCCGAUUAUAGUCGGACUAAGGUGUUUACAUGCACUUCAAUUGUCCGGUCUUAAUCAGAAUAAGGCAAUAAUUCGGUUUUCUCGAGUGUGAUGUAAAUGUACUGACUUUUGGAGUAACUUGAUUAGGUUACCUUGUCCUUAGCUGCUUCUGUUUUAUUUUGCAAAACAAUAAAAGCUAUUUUAAAGCACUGAGAGUAGUUUCUGUGAAGUACAUUUUAAUUAUUUAACACUUUAAAAUAAAGAAAUAAAGAAGCAUGCAUCUAGGAUCAAUUCUGAUUGAAUGUGCCGUAUACCUCAAACAGAAGCACAUGUUUCGCCAUCCGCUCAUACUGUAAUCUAUAAAUAUCUACUUGACUGUCUAUUUGUUUUUAUUUAUUUCCUGACUUUGGUUGCCAGGUUUUAAGUUUAGCGCAUCACUCAUCACAUUUCCCCAGCAUCUGUCAUGAGGUGUCAGCUCAUCUGAAAUCUGAUCUCUUUCUAUUUUGUUUAUGCGUUAGGCCUCUUGAUGAGAAAAACAGCUCAGGACCUCUGGUUCAAGCAUGCCGGUGUACGUGAGUCACCGCAGGCCUCAGGCUGAACAUUGCAGACCAAUGAAUUACUGGCUCAAAGC